rnacentral:piRNA from 1 species
UGACUGAGUCUUGACUUUGGAAAGUGGCU